ensembl:antisense
CCCGACACACGCACAUACACAAACAUUGAAGCACAUCAAAACUUACGUCUGUCCUUAAAUUCCUGAGCGUAGCUGAAACAGAAAUAAUUUGGAUGAGUUGAAUACUUUAUCAGCAUGUUGUCACAAACAUGUUCAGAGAUUGUGGAGAACAGAUCCCUGCCAGGAGACCUGCCCUUUGUCACCUGCUCUGUACCUCUCAUAAAGGAUGAUAGUUGUGAUUAAACACUGACAUCCUGCAUGCUUGUUCACUUGGCUUGAGCACUGCUUGAACCUCAAUUGACCUGGCCACAGAUCCAUCUGGUGUGGAGGGGGAAAGAGAGGUGAAGUGCCCUUUGACCUUUUGAAGGAGAGUGGAGCCGCUUCAUACCUCAUGGUCCUCGGCCGAGCUUGUUUGAUCUGGACUCACCUCAGUUCACACGUCUCAGCUUCUGGCACCAACCCAGAAAGAGGAGGGAUGUGAUGUAGAGCUGGUCGGAAUUGACCAGUUUAUUGGAAGAGCCCGAACUCAAGUUUUGUGAAGACAUACAGUACCUCUGAAAGUGCACCUAAGAUGAAUGAGGUCACCAGCAAAUACUAUGACAAUGUGACAGGUAAGUCAUAUCAGAAUCAGACCACCUGAACAGCCUCUGAACAUUAAGAAAGACAUCUGAGGGCGCGCUCUUGCCACUGUAAUUCACACUGCCUGCAGGGUACAGAGGUAUCUGUGAAGUUCAACUUUGUGAUGGAUGAGAUGGUGUCUUUGCCUUGCGGCCUCAAAGGGAUUAGGCUGCUCAGGUGUUGUUUUUAAAAGACUUAGAAUUAGCUCACAUUUAAACAUUUAAACUGUCUUUUGACACCACUUUCACCACCUUUUUGGUAAAAAAGAAGAUUGCCCCCACCCUGCAUUGCAGUAAACCUUAAGAUUAUGUUUGGUUCAUGACAACAAAAUUAUUUUAAGUGAUAUUUAAAAUUGUACAUAUGCAACUUUGUAAAACUUUGGCAGAGAUUUAAUUCUUUGGUUAUUAAUUACUGUAAAUUUAUUCAUGAAGCUUUUCUUGACGCUUUGAGUUGCUCAGUUCCACUGGGAGCAGUAACCUCUGUUAGUCUUUUGAUUCAGCAGUCCACACUUUGGCCUCAUUGCAGCCUCAGGAGAAUAAACACUUAUGCUAGAUGUAAAGAGAUGUUUGAGAAGCAGACCACGUAAGUGCAACCCGAAGAAGAAUAAUUGCAUACUUCAGGAAUUCUAUAAACAUGAUCUAUGAGAUAAUAUCAUGCUUCAUAGGACUAAUUUGUUCAUUUGUAUUCUGUGGUGUUGCUGUGGUUGGCCUCUGUUUAAGAUCCCUUAAAGGGAUGUUUUUACUUAAAAUGUAACAGUCUGUCAUCAUUUAUCUACCAUUAUGCCAUUUUAUCAGUGUUUCUAAUGCAAAACGCCAUAAAGAGGUAUUAACUGUUUUUCUUCAUCCAGUAAAAAUCCAAAAACACCAUUGGAUAUUUUUGUUCCAA